ACCUAAAUAUAUAGCAAUGAGAAUUGGGUUAAAACUUAAAACCCUAUUUUGGAAAAUCACGGGGCCGCUCCACACUUUCUUCCAAGGUGCCGCUGCAACAACCAAUGGUUCACUUCAUCCUUCCAUCUUUUCCCAAGCUCUCAAGUUUGAACCAACCACCACCAUUAAUCGAAGGUACCCGAACCCUCUAUGUACUUUAUUUUUUUGGUUAUUUGGGUCUUCACAAACUAUUCUAAUGUAAGAGGACAAAGUUUUACUUAUUGUUCAAUUUUUCAUCGUAAGGUUUCUUUGUGUCUAUUUUCAAACACCAUUGCUGAACUAGUAGUAAGGCUCAAUUGAUAUCAUGUUAGUUUAGUUAACUUACAACUGCAUGUGGAUUGUAAAACGAUGAUUUGAUUAUGAUUAUAUGUUUACGAUUUGAUAUCUAAAUACAUGCGUAGUUUCCAUCAGGUGGAUUGCUUGGGUAUAGAGGCAAUUCAUUUUUGUAUGUUGUUUUCUUAUUUGUAGGCAUGUUUGGUGCUGGCUGCUAUUACAGUGACUUGCAUUAUUUGAUUUAUUUCUUGUCAAAAUAUCUUCAUAAAAAUAAUCUUAAUUUUGAUGUAUAGUUGAUUCACUGACUGCUUUGCUUGCAAUUUCUUUUCUAUUAAUAAUUAAUACCCCUACGCCCUUAUUAAUAUUAUUUGAGAAUCAUUUGUGCAAUAUCAACCCUUCAUAAAAUUUUAUCAAGCAUGAAAACCUACCAAAGUCAAAGUUUCACAUGCUUGCUUGUGCUUAAUCUGAAUUCAGUCUCUAAAAACUAGUGCAACAUUUUUUAGUAGGAAAGAAGUAAUGUUGUUGCCAUAGAUGAUAAAUUUUGCUCUAAACAAAAUCCACCACCAUGAACAAAAUCCAUAAAAUCCAUACAUACUAGUAUGCUAAGAUUACAAGACGUCUAAAUGGAAAUUGAUGUCGUUUGUGGAUAACCUUCAUUGUACGCUGUCAGGAUGUGUCAUAUUAUGGUUUAUAUGUUGGCACAAAAAGACUAUUCUCGUGUUGACUUUUAAACAGGGGAUUGUACAAUUAUAUUCAUCAACGAAACAUUACAAUAGUGAAAAAUCUUGUUUAGAUAGAUGGUUGUAGUAGAACCGUUUUUUUUAGUGUGUAUGUUCUUGUUUUUGGUACCACAUAUUGGAAGACUGGAUGUAACAAUUUAGUUGUUAUAUUUUCUUGUUGUAUUCAUCAUUUCCAUGUUAUAUUUUGAUGUGCUUUGGUGCUGGUUAAAACCAAGGACACAUGUAAGUGAGUGGUGAAUUUUUUUUUGAAGCAAUAUGCAACUAACACAGUAACACACGAAAUCAGUUGUCACAUAUGGUUAUAGUGCUAGGGGGGCAAUGUUUUCGGAUGCAAUACAUCGACUUUGUGCAUGACACUUGCACAAAAAUGCAUGUAACACCGUGAAGAACACACCUUUUUGGAAGAAUUCAAUAAUGUGAUGAGUUUGAGGAAUAUUGGAAGAAGAUAUUUGUCAAGCUCGGAGAAAACAAAUGGAUUUCCAAAACUUCAUGACAUAAAGUCAAUGUGACUCACCGUUUAUCUUCGCGAACAAUUCUUUGAUCGAAUGCAAACUACCUCACUAUGUGAAACAAUGCUCGAAUAAAGCCAUAUGUUGGCAAAGAAAAAAUAACAUUGUUGAGUUAAUGGACAAUAUAGUGCAAGCUUUAAGAGAAUGCAUUAGGUUGCUGAUAUUAAGAUUCAUUUUCAGAACUUGUGUUGACUAAAAUCAGUUGUGCAUGAAAAAAGAGUCUUAAAAUCAGCAACCAGCUUGUAAAGCUUGCUCUAUAUUGUGCAUGAACUCAACAAUACAAUACUUUUGCCAACAUAUGACUCUAUUCGAGCAUUAAUGACCUCACUUUGUGAGGUAUUAAGAUAUUCGAGCAAAGAAUUGCUCACGAAGAUAUGCAGUGACCCACAUUGACCUUAUGUAGUUUUGGAGACCCAUUUGUUUGGCACAAGCUUGUGCUUGACAAGUGACAACCAUCUUCUUCCAAUAUUCCUCAAAAAAGGCAUAUGUUCGUCACAAUGUCACAUGUAUUUUGUGAAGUGUCAUGCACAGCUUGUGUGAUCCAUCUAGAAACACUUGUUUGAUGACCUGUCUCAUAGGACCAUCACCAUCCGUGACGACUGAUUUCGAGUGUUUGUUGCACACUUUUUCCAAAAAAUUUCCAACCCCCAGGAUGUCAUCCACAAACAAAGCACACCCGAAUGUAAUGGUCUGAGAAUGCAGAUUACAACCAGAAAAUAUAACAAGUGGAUUGUUAUAUUUGGUCUUCCGAUAGGUGGUAUUAAAACAAUAAAUUCACCGACGCACUAAAAAUCAGUUUUACUUCACCAAUCUACCCAAACAAGAUUUUUAAGUCUACUGUCAUGAGUAGUUGUGUAAUUUGAAGUACAAACAUGACAUCAUUAUCAACUUUUCCUCUUAGAUAAAUUACAUCCCCAUGUUUCUGUCAAUGAACAUAGUUGUACACAAUGUUCUGAAAACCGGACGAGGCACUGGUUUAAGGUUUAAAGGUCGAACCGGGGUUAAAUCGAGGUCAAACCGUAUUAAUUUAAAUAAUAUUUUUUUAAAUAUACAUCUUUAAAAUAAUUAUUUAAAAGUAUGAUAUCUCUAUGUUAUUUUUCAAUAUUCUACUGCUAUGUUAUUUUUCAAUAUAUUUCAGUUGUAUUUGUUUGGUACUCAAGCAAAUCUAUAUCUCUUCAUGCAUUUAAUCAGUAUAAAGGCAGUCUAUAACAAGUGUGGACAAGUUUCUUUUUCAUUAGAAUUAGUUUUGGCCCUUGGAAUCACAAAAAACUUUUUCCCAUAAUUUUUUUAUAGAAACAAAACGCAAGAAUAUAUAUUUCUAACUAAUAUAUUUUUAUUAUUUUACAUUUCAAUUAUUAAUUUUAAAUAUAUAUCUUUAUUCAUAAUAGAGCAAUCAUAACAAGAUAUCUUUAAUUUUUUUUUUUUUUGAAAGUAUGAUAUCUUUAAAUUGGGUUUAGGGUUAUUUUCUCUCUCUACAACCUCUCAAGUCUCAACUUCUCUCUGCGUUUCUACAGCCACUGUUCCUUUCUUCUUCCUCUCUUUGUCUCCAUGUUCUUUUCUUCUUCCUCUCUUUACCUCCAUGCUCCUUUCUUCUUCCUUUCUUUGCGUGUGAUACUUGCCUCUUCAGAUCUGUGACUCAGGUUCCCUUUUUUUUCUCUUCUAUGCUCGUUGCUCCUUCCAUGGCCGCCGCCGUCCCCUGUUUCUGGUGGUGCUAGAUUCGGUGUGAUUGAAGGUUGCUGGCUCAGGGUGGAGGCGCUACUACGGCCGCCGUAGAGAGGGAGCUUGCCGGCGCUCAAGGAGAACUGGAAAUUGGAAAACAAUCACCUCGUUCACGUGGUUUCUCUCCUCUGUUUCACGAUCUGUUUUUUUUUAAACAUCAUCUAAACGACGUCGUUUUGGCUUGAAUGAACAGACCGGAAAAAACCGGCCAACCCGCGGUUUUUACCGGUUUGGCCGGUUCAAGUCUGGUUUUAUCGGUUCAAUUACGGUUCGAUGUGCAGCCGGUUUUAGAGGAGUUCCGGACCGGGGAGGGGUCCGGUUCCCGGUUGAACCGGCCGGUCCGGUCCGGUUUUCAGAACAUUGGUUGUACAAAUCCUCUUUCAAAAAAUCAAUAACAAAAUAUGUCAUUUCUAUGCCAACAUGUAAACCCAUAAUAUGGCAUGUUCUUAUAUCGUAUGAAUGAAGGUUAUCCUGAGCUUUAUCUACAUCGCUCAUCAUCCAGUAAGCGGCUACUAAUGACACGUACAUGGAUGCGGUAAGUUCAUGGUUAUGAUUCUCCUCAACUGACACCGCCUCUUAUUUUGAUAUCUUCUUGUAAUCUAAGCAUACUCGAAGCUUGACUUGACACGCAGUGUGAGUGAGGGGUUUAUGAUCUUUUUUUCCUAUCCAGCAUGAUGAAAUAUUUUUUAUCCCCUCUAUUGCUUACAUAUUGGCGUAUUAUAAAAUUUUCUUAAAAGACCAGUGGAGCCCAACACUCACUCUGAAGACUGCACUUCUCUCUGCUCCUCAACUUGAUGAUCCUCAAUAUGCUAUUGUGGCACAUCAGGCCUGGCUCAUUCUUUUGUGCAGUCAUGUCUAUGGUUUUGUGAAAUGUUUUUGUUUUCAUAUGCUUUAUGUGUAUAGUUGCCAAAGGCAGUAUAUUGAAGAAUUCAAUCCUCGUCCCGGUUGCUGCUAGAUCAACUUAUGUUAAUAUUGCUUAGUUCUCACAAGUCCUGUCAUUCACUAUCUGAAAGACUAGCAGUCAUUUGUUAACAUUGUUAAUGCCUCUAGAUUUUGAUGACAAACAGGUUUGUGGUUUCUCACAUCCAUGAAAAAUGCGCCACAAGAAGAUUAUAUAGCAACUAAUUAAUAUUUAUUAAAACUUCAGAUUAAUUUUGAUAUAUUUGAUGUAAUAUAAUAGCGAGUAAAUGUAAAAAUGUGUUCCAAGGGUACAAGAUCGAUUUUUGUGAUGGUGGUGUGGUUAUAUUCCACUAAUGCCCUUCUUGACAAUCUUUAUGACCAAGAAAUAGCAUCAACUAUAUCAAAUUCAAUCUUUGGGUGAAAAAGCAGAAGACUAUUAUCCUGUUGAGAUUGAGAACCACUGAAGUGGAGGCUUUUGUUCAAAAAGUCAUCAAUGAAAGUAAGCAUAACUAUUGCUAACCAGUACAAAGCAAAGACAUGUUUGAUUUGAAGGAUCACUUGAAGGAUCUGGAGAUGACUGAUGAGAGCUGCAAAGGCCUUAGAAUACUUCAAUACCACCCGACACAUGAUCCUUUACUAUGAGGAUCUUGUGAGAAUUCACAGUAUAUAAACCAAAGCUUUGCCAGUCUUCCCAAUUUAUAAAUUGCCAUCUAGACAUAUUCAGAUUUUGCUGUAAUAAUGCAAACAAUGGUGUGACAAAUCAAGAGUUUGGUUCACCCCCUAUGCAAGUAGAAAGAAUGCAACCCCUUGUUACAGAAAGUGUAAAAUCUGAGACUAUGGAGGAAUUUGAAUAUGGUAUUGCAGUAACACAGGAGAACCAUUAUGGAGACCUUUUCUUUACAAUGAGGGUUGUCCUAGAUGCACUACCAAGUGCCACCGGUGGUACUGAAAUCUAUUGCUCCUCCAAACCACACGUUUGAGUUGCAUCAUCCUCUUUGUAAGCUCGCCUUGUGGUGUAAUCUUGUUGGUUCAGGCAAAAAAAUUGGCUGCUGUUGCUCCAAGCACAUUGGAUUUUGUUGCUUCUCCAUGGAAAGCUCGGAGUCUUGGAUUAUAAUAAUGCUUUGAAGGCAUCAUUUAAUAUGCUCUAAUCAGAUUGUUCA